AGUUUUCGAGUAGGAAAUAUUUUAAACUAAUAGUUGUAGAUUUAUGAAUAACUCUGGUUGUGGAUGUGCUUGUGAAUGGUGUAUGUUUAUCUGUGGAUGUUCAUAUGUGUGAUUAUCUUUGGUAUAGUGAAGUUUGUAUUUUGUACUUGUGCGAUGCCAUGCAAAUACAGAGGAGAUUCUGUCCAUGUGAACAGUGGACUCCCUGUAUUUGUGGCGAAUCUGGCAUACUCUGGGGGUCAGGUUUUCAAAAAAAAAAAAUUUGGGCACUUCCGCUUUACUUUUAAAUCAAAAAGGGACCCCGGGGCGUGACAAGAGUGGGCUUCAUCAUAAGGUUCUUAGUUUUUAGUUUAAAGAGGAUAUCAGGUGUAAGUCUACUUUUGUUUCUUCAUAUAGCUCGCUUUUCCCAUGGACAUAGGCAAUUGUCGAACUACGUAAAUCUCGGUUUCUUCUUUCUGCAUUUAUUUCUUUUACCAUUUAGUUUACUCUAUUUUCAUGCAUCUAUAUUGGUACCAUAUGACGGACGAUCCAUCAAAUUUCCAACAAGUGGUAUUAGAGCCUAAUGUUCACGCUACAGCAAAGAUGUUCAAGGUCUCAUCUUUCAAGUUCGAGGUUGAGAAAUUUAACAGAAAAGGAAAGUUC
rnacentral:lncRNA from 1 species